GCCGGGCGUGGUGGUGGACGCCUGUAGUCCCAGCUACUUGGGAGGCUGAGGCAGGAGAAUCGCUUGAACCCGGGAGGUGGAGGUUGCAGUGAGCCAAGAUCGUGCCGCUGCACUCCAUCCAGCCUGGGCGACAGAGCGAGACUCUGUCUCAA
rnacentral:SRP_RNA from 1 species